GCUGAAGAACGUAGCGAAAUGCGAUAAGUAAUGUGAAUUGCAGAAUUCAGUGAAUCAUCGAAUCUUUGAACGCACAUUGCGCCCCCUGGUAUUCCGGGGGGCAUGCCUGUUCGAGCGUCAUUUCACCACUCAAGCCUCGCUUGGUAUUGGGCAACGCGGUCCGCCGCGUGCCUCAAAUCGACCGGCUGGGUCUUCUGUCCCCUAAGCGUUGUGGAAACUAUUCGCUAAAGGGUGUUCGGGAGGCUACGCCGUAAAACAACCCCAUUUCUAAGGUUGACCUCGGAUCAGGUAGGGAUAGCCGCUGAACUUAAGCAUAUCAAUAAGCGGAGGA
rnacentral:misc_RNA from 1 species